UACGUAGGUGGCAAGCGUUGUCCGGAAUUAUUGGGCGUAAAGCGCGCGCAGGCGGUCCUUUAAGUCUGAUGUGAAAGCCCACGGCUCAACCGUGGAGGGUCAUUGGAAACUGGGGGACUUGAGUACAGGAGAGAAGAGUGGAAUUCCACGUGUAGCGGUGAAAUGCGUAGAGAUUUGGAGGAACACCAGUGGCGAAGGCGACUUUCUGGUCUGUAACUGACGCUGAGGCGCGAAAGCGUGGGGAGCAAACAGG
rnacentral:rRNA from 1 species